UCGAGGAUCUUUCGCAAUGGGCGCAAGCCUGACGAAGCGACGCCGUGUGAGUGAUGAAGGCCUUCGGGUUGUAAAGCUCUUUCGCCCGCGAACAAGAGAGACUGGUGAAUAACUAGUUGAUUUGAGGGUAGCGGGUAAAGAAGCACCGGCUAACUACGUGCCAGCAGCUGCGGUAAUACGUAGGGUGCAAGCAUUAAUCGGAUUUAUUGGGCGUAAAGGGCGCGUAGGCGGAUUUAUAAGUCAGGUGUGAAAUUCCGGGGCUCAACCUCGGAGCUGCACUUGAAACUGUGAAUCUAGAGGAUUGGCGGAGAAAACGGAAUUCCACAUGUAGCGGUGAAAUGCGUAGAUAUGUGGAAGAACACCGGUGGCGAAAGCGGUUUUCUAGCUUAUUCCUGACGCUGAGGCGCGAGAGCAAGGGGAUCAAACAGGAUUAGAUACCCGUGUAGUCC
rnacentral:rRNA from 1 species